rnacentral:piRNA from 1 species
UGCCCGUGUCAUCCUCUUUGUUUCCGGA